AGAGUUUGAUCCUAGCUCAGAAUGAACGCUGGCGGCACGCCUAACACAUGCAAGUCGAACGGAGUUCUCGUGUUCGCAUGAGAACUUAGUGGCAAACGGGUGAGUAACACGUGGGAACCUGCCUUUUGGAGGGGGAUAGCCUUGGGAAACUAAGGGUAUACCGCAUAAGAUCGCAUGAAAGUGCGAAGAAAGAUGCGAAUCGCCAAAAGAGGGGCCUGCGUCGGAUUAGGUAGUUGGUGAGGUAAUGGCUCACCAAGCCUGUGAUCUGUAGCUGGUCUGAGAGGAUGGUCAGCCACAUUGGGACUGAGACACGGCCCAAACUCCUACGGGAGGCAGCAGUGAGGGAUAUUGGACAAUGGGGGAAACCCUGAUCCAGCGAUGCCGCGUGAGCGAUGAAGGCCUUCGGGUCGUAAAGCUCUUUCAUUCGUGAUGAUAAUGACAGUAGCGAAAGAAGAAGUCCCGGCUAACUCCGUGCCAGCAGCCGCGGUAAUACGGGGGGGACUAGCGUUAUUCGGAAUUACUGGGCGUAAAGGGUGUGUAGGCGGUUUUGUAAGUAGUGUGUUAAAUCCCUGGGCUUAACCUUGGGGCUGCGCGCUAAACUGCGGAACUAGAAGAUGGUAGGGGAAAGUGGAAUUCCUGGUGUAGAGGUGAAAUUCUUAGAUAUCAGGAGGAACGUCGGGGGCGAAGGCGACUUUCUGGGCCAUAUUUGACGCUGAGGCACGAAAGCGUGGGGAGCAAACAGGAUUAGAUACCCUGGUAGUCCACGCCGUAAACGAUGAGUACUAUGUGUCGGGAUUUUUAUUUCGGUAUUGAAGCUAACGCAAUAAGUACUCCGCCUGGGGACUACGAUCGCAAGAUUAAAACUCAAAGGAAUUGACGGGGGCCUGCACAAGCGGUGGAGCAUGUGGUUUAAUUCGAUAAUAAGCGAAGAAACUUACCAGGGUUUGACAUGUUGAGUUGGUAUGCAGAGAUGUGUGCGUCGGUUCGGCCGGCUUUUCACAGGUGUUGCAUGGCCGUCGUCAGCUCGUGUCGUGAGAUGUUAGGUUAAGUCCUGUAACGAGCGCAACCCCUGUCCUUUAUUGCCAGCAUUUGGUUGGGGACUUUGAGGAGACUGCCGGUGCAAGCCGGAGGAAGGAGGGGAUGAAGUCAGGUCAUCAUGGCCCUUAUGUCCUGGGCUACACACGUGCUACAAUGGCGAAUACAGCGGGUUGCAAGGAGGUGACUCUAAGCUAAUCCUAAAAGUUCGUCCUAGUUCGGAUUGCUCUCUGUAACUCGAGAGCAUGAAGUCGGAAUCGCUAGUAAUCGCGGAUGAGGAUGCCGCGGUGAAUACGUAAACUGGCCUUGUACACACCGACCGUCAAGCCAUGGGAGUUGGUUCUGCUUUAAAUCGAUCCGCUAACCUUAGGGAGGCGUUCGACUAUGGUGGGGCUGAUGACUGGGGUUAAGUCGGAACAAGGUA
rnacentral:rRNA from 1 species